ensembl:lncRNA
CCCACCUUUAAACCAUCAUUUGUCAUCUUCAAAUUAAUCAGAGACCCAGAUGGUUUUCUGGCUGACCAAGGAUGUGCUCCUGGGAAGAAGAGGCAUUACCUGGCAUGGUCGUGGCUGACACUGAUCAGAUACCACCUGGAAUCCUGUGGUCAGUUCUGGAUUCCUUUGGAGAACACUUUGGGAGUGGCAAAAGUAAAUUGGACUCCACAGUGGGUAUGAGGAUGGAGAUAAGACCUUGGAUCCAUAUGGCAAAAGAGCCUGGAGAUGUUCAUCCAAAACCAAGCCAAUCAAGAGGGAGUCAUUAUAACCACCUUUAAAUAAAGAACUGUUC